rnacentral:rRNA from 1 species
GAAUUAGUGGUGUAGGGGGUAAAAUCCGUAGAUAUCACUAGGAAUACCGAAAGCGAAGGCGAUCUCCUGGAACAAUACUGACGCUAAGGCGUGAAAGCGUGGGGAGCAAACGGGAUUAGAUACCCCGGUAGUCCACGCCCUAAACGAUGUUCACUAGUCGUCGGAAUGCUAGUCAUUUCGGUGAUGCACUUAACAGAUUAAGUGAACCGCCUGGGGAGUACGGUCGCAAGAUUAAAACUCAAAGGAAUAGACGGGGACCCGCACAAGUGGUGGAGCAUGUGGUUUAAUUCGAAGAUACGCGAAGAACCUUACCUAGCCUUGACAUUGAUUGAACACUUUAGAGAUAGAGUGGUGCCCUUCGGGGAACAUGAAAACAGGUGCUGCACGGCUGUCGUCAGCUCGUGUCGUGAGAUGUUGGGUUAAGUCCCGCAACGAGCGCAACCCUCGUCCUUAGUUGCCAGCAGGUUAUGCUGGGCACUCUAAGGAGACUGCCUUCGCAAGGAGGAGGAAGGUGAGGACGACGUCAAGUCAUCAUGGCCCUUAUGGCUAGGGCUACACACGUGCUACAAUGGGGCGUACAGAGAGUUGCGAUACCGCGAGGUGGAGCCAAUCUCAUAAAGCGUCUCUCAGUUCGGAUUGAAGUCUGCAACUCGACUUCAUGAAGCUGGAAUCACUAGUAAUCGUAGAUCAGCAAUGCUACGGUGAAUACGUUCCCGGGUCUUGUACUCCCGCCCGUCACACCA